rnacentral:rRNA from 1 species
CGUAGGGUGCGAGCGUUGUCCGGAAUUAUUGGGCGUAAAGGGCUCGUAGGCGGUUUGUCGCGUCGGGAGUGAAAACUCAGGGCUUAACCCUGAGCCUGCUUCCGAUACGGGCAGACUAGAGGUAUGCAGGGGAGAACGGAAUUCCUGGUGUAGCGGUGAAAUGCGCAGAUAUCAGGAGGAACACCGGUGGCGAAGGCGGUUCUCUGGGCAUUACCUGACGCUGAGGAGCGAAAGUGUGGGGAGCGAACAGGAUUAGAUACCCUGGUAGUCCACACCGUAAACGUUGGGCGCUAGGUGUGGGACUCAUUCCACGAGUUCCGUGCCGCAGCUAACGCAUUAAGCGCCCCGCCUGGGGAGUACGGCCGCAAGGCUA